rnacentral:rRNA from 1 species
GACGAACGCUGGCGGCGUGCUUAACACAUGCAAGUCGAACGGAAAGGCCCCUUUGGGGGUACUCGAGUGGCGAACGGGUGCGUAACACGUGAGUAACCUGCCCUUGACUUCGGGAUAACUUCAGGAAACUGGGGCUAAUACCGGAUAGGAAUCCUUGCUGCAUGGUGGGGGUUGGAAAGCUUCGGCGGUUUUGGAUGGACUCGCGGCUUAUCAGCUUGUUGGUGGGGUAGUGGCUUACCAAGGCUUUGACGGGUAGCCGGCCUGAGAGGGCGACCGGCCAAAUUGGGACUGAGAUACGGCCCAGACUCCUACGGGAGGCAGAAGUGGGGAAUAUUGCACAAUGGGCGGAAGCCUGAUGCAGCAACGCCGCGUGCGGGAUGACGGCCUUCGGGUUGUAAACCGCUUUCAGCAGGGGCGAAGCUUGUGGUGACGGUACCUGCAGAAGAAGCACCGGCUAACUACGUG